rnacentral:rRNA from 1 species
AGGGACGGGCGGCUGCUUUAACAUGCAGUCGAACGGCAGCGGGGGCUUCGGCCUGCCGGCGAGUGGCGAACGGGUGAGUAAUGCAUCGGAACGUACCCAGUCGUGGGGGAUAACACAUCGAAAGAUGUGCUAAUACCGCAUACGUCCUGAGGGAGAAAGCGGGGGCUCGCAAGACCUCGCGCGAUUGGAGCGGCCGAUGUCGGAUUAGCUAGUAGGUGGGGUAAAGGCCUACCAAGGCGACGAUCCGUAGCGGGUCUGAGAGGAUGAUCCGCCACACUGGGACUGAGACACGGCCCAGACUCCUACGGGAGGCAGCAGUGGGGAAUUUUGGACAAUGGGCGCAAGCCUGAUCCAGCCAUGCCGCGUGAGUGAAGAAGGCCUUCGGGUUGUAAAGCUCUUUCGGACGGGAAGAAAUCGUGGUGGCUAAUACCUGCCAUGGAUGACGGUACCGUAAGAAGAAGCACCGGCUAACUACGUGCCAGCAGCCGCGGUAAUACGUAGGGUGCGAGCGUUAAUCGGAAUUACUGGGCGUAAAGCGUGCGCAGGCGGUUUUGUAAGACAGCUGUGAAAUCCCCGGGCUUAACCUGGGAACUGCGGUUGUGACUGCAAGGCUAGAGUAUGGCAGAGGGGGGUGGAAUUCCACGUGUAGCAGUGAAAUGCGUAGAGAUGUGGAGGAACACCGAUGGCGAAGGCAGCCCCCUGGGCCAAUACUGACGCUCGUGCACGAAAGCGUGGGGAGCAAACAGGAUUAGAUACCCUGGUAGUCCACGCCCUAAACGAUGUCGACUAGUUGUUCGGAGAGGAGACUCUCUGAGUAACGCAGCUAACACGUGAAGUCGACCGCCUGGGGAGUACGGUCGCAAGAUUAAAACUCAAGGAAUUGACGGGGACCCGCACAAGCGGUGGAUGAUGUGAUUAAUUCGAUGCAACGCGAAAACCUUACCUACCCUUGACAUGUCCAGAACCCUUGAAAGAUCGAGGGGGUGCCUUCGGGAGCUGGGAACAACAGU